AGGUAGAAAGAACGCUGUCGAAGAGUGCAGCUGCAGCGGAGCACCUCAGCAAGAGAGGACUGAGUGCAACACAGUGGAUCCUUCCUCAGGGGUAUUUAUGGACCUUAAAGCCGGAGCUGAAGGGGUGGAGAAGGGCCUUUUCUUCUCUCUUCUAUGAAGACCACUCAUUGACGACAUCAUCGCAGGUCUGGUUUACUAUCCGAGCUCCAGGAGCCUCCUAUUUGCCAUAUGAUCUGUGGAAGGGAGAGAGCAGCAUGCUGGAGGGGAUGAUUUGGCAAGUCCGCUGAAGAACACAAGCCUCGACUGCUCCCCGGCGUGGAAGAAGGAAGGCGAUAAAUACUGUAACGGAGGACGAGGAAGGAGCACUGAGUUCUAUGUGGAAAGAAAGGGUCAAAAAGAGGAAAACGCCUAUUCACAUGCAUGGCGUUUAACAGAUUUAUUAGGUUGUUUGCUGUGUGAUGUAAAUCUCCUCCUCUCUCUCCUUGAAAUUUCUUGAGUGAAUUCUACAUUGUUCAUUCAUUCAUGUUUAUGUGCCAGCAAGCUUUGGGAGCACUGUAAAAAUAAAAAAGGUUAGACCACUGUUAGACAUCUGGGAAACAUCUAUGUUAGAGAAGGACUAUAUAUUAAUUUAUCUCAUUUAUGGGAGGCAAAUACUAUGAUUAUUGAAGGUACAUCUCUUUCUUUAUGGAUGGAGUACAUCUUAUUUUUCUAAAAUUUGUAUUUGAACCUAUUUAUUUCUAAUUGUCAAAAAUGUGAAGUGAGAAACUUAAAAACUUUUUAGUUUCUCUUGUCCCACCAUUUUAUGUACUUCCAGGUUGUCAAAUAAUUUGGAAUUUUAGACUUAGAUAAUUCUCUAAUGUAUAUUAUAGAUCUUCUAUUUCAAUAAUUAGCUUAUAUUUUAAUUAAAUUGUAUAACUGCAUUAAAAUAUACUUAACUAUG
ensembl:lncRNA novel transcript